rnacentral:misc_RNA from 1 species
GUGUUUGGUUUGUUUGGAUUGGUUGGUUCCUUGCUCGCGCAUCGACAACCACUCCUUCUAACCUUUUCAAUCUUGUUCCAAGAGCAACGAGCCUCGGACGGAAUUGGUUUCUUGUGUUGCGUACCUACGACGUCGGAAUUGUCCCGUAUACUUGUCCCUAGUUCGACUUGUGCUGCUCAUGCGGUGCGAGUCGAUCAAUGUAGUGUCCUUCGUUGUCCAUUCUUGGCUUGCGUUAUGCAGUCAUUGAAUUGGCCAACGUUGUCGGAGGCACUCGAUUUCUCGGAUAUGGAACCUUAAGCGGACAAAACGUGGUCCUUGACCUCGAUUUGGCCAGAAUGAGCGUUCUCGCUUCUUAAGAACGACUGUCGUCCCGUUCGAGAUGUGGAUACUUUUGGUCCAACAUGCUCGUCCGGCGUUGACGUCAGAGAAGGAUG